rnacentral:rRNA from 1 species
UACAGAGGUCUCAAGCGUUGUUCGGAUUCAUUGGGCGUAAAGGGUGCGUAGGCGGCGCGGUAAGUCGGGUGUGAAAUCUCGGAGCUUAACUCCGAAACUGCAUUCGAUACUGCCGUGCUUGAGGACUGGAGAGGAGACUGGAAUUUACGGUGUAGCGGUGAAAUGCGUUGAUAUCUACAGGAACUCCGGUGGCGAAAGCGGCGUGCUGGACCUUUUCUGACGCUGAGGCGCGAAAAGCUAGGGGGAGCAAACGGGG